UCACGCGGACUUCCUACCGCCAAACACAGCAAAUCUGUGAUUGCACAACGAUGGCGAUGAACCCACUUAUUUUACCUUUCGCCACCGUUUCAUCCGCCAACAACCACCUCUUCGCCUCCAUCGACUUGGGGACCAACUCUUCCAAACUCCGUAUUGUCCGAGCUGACCCUACAACCGGUCGAUUUCUAACCCUCCAACGCCUCAAGGAACCCGUUGUUCUCGUCUCCGGUGGAAACACCACCGCCAUAUCCUACUCAGCCCAGCUCCGCGUCAUCGAAUCCCUUCGAAAGUUCCAGCACAUCCUCCACUCCCUAAACGUCCCUUCCUCCCACCUCCGCCUCGUCGCCACUUCCGCCAUCCGCGAAUCCUCCAACCAAUCUGAACUCGUACAACUCAUCCGACAAAGGCUAGGUUUAGAAAUCGACGUGGUAUCGGGAUAUGAAGAAGCCCGCCUUACCUACCUUGGUGUCUUGCAGUUCCAUCCGAUUUACAAUCACACAGUUCUUACAAUCGAUAUCGGAGGGGGAUCGACUGAAUUUGUUAUUGGAUUUCAAGGUAAAGUUAAAUUUGGUAUUUCAUUGAAACUAGGGCAUGUAACUUUGACUCAAAGAUUUGUUAGAAACAAGGCCACUGAGGCAAUGAGAGAGCACAUUAGGGAUGUCGUUAAAGAAUCAGGAUUAAUCGAAAAUGUUUUGCAACAUAAGAUUGAUAUUGCUGUUGGUUCCUCUGGUUCCAUCAGGAUGAUUGAAAAGGCAAUUUUUAUGGGUUAUAGCAGUGAUUUGGUGAAUGAGAUUGGUUUACUUGAAGGGUAUAGGAGGGAUUGGAAGUUCACAAGGGAAGAAUUAAGGGGUCUUGUUGAUAAGUUAUGUGAGGAGGAGAGUGAGGUUGAGGGAGGUAAGGUGGACAAUAGAAAAGGGUUUUUCAAAACAAGAUCAGCAUUUAUUGUGGCCGCAGUGAUUUUGUUGGAAGAGAUAUUUGGGUUGCUUGAGAUUAAAGAAAUGGAAGUCUCUGGUUAUGCAUUGGGAGAGGGUGUUAUUGCUGAGAAAUUAGCAGAGUUCUAUGAUGGAUUUGAUUUGAAUGCAAACGCAAGGUGGCGAUCGGUCUUGCGGCUUGCAUCAAGGUUCAACAAUAAGAAGAGGAUGACCUCUGCGGCAGCUUGUGCUUCUAUUGCACAGGGAAUUUUUGCAGGUUUAAGGAAGUGGAGUGAGAUUGAUGAUAAGCGAAAUCAACUUGUUUUAUUGGAUAACAAGGAUCUUGAAUAUCUUGAAGCUGCUUGUUUGCUUCAUAACAUUGGGUUGGUGACUGGGAAAAAGGGCUACCAUAAGCGAUCAUACCAUAUUAUCAUGAAUGGGGAGCAUCUUCAUGGAUAUAGUACUGAAGAGGUUAAGUUAAUCGCAUUGCUCGCAAGGCAUCACAGAAAGAAAUUCUUGCAACUUGAUCAUGAUCCUCUAAGUGAAUUCACAGAGGAGAUGAAGCAUAAGUUCAGAGUUCUUUGUAUAAUCAUCCGUUUGUCUGCAGUUCUAAAGCAAUAUCAGUCUCUGAGCAGUCAAGACGUUGAUUUAUCACAUUCUCUUGAAGGCUUCAAGUUGGUGAUCAGGGACACUAGCGGAGCAAACAUUGUUCAGUCUAUACCAGCAGCCAUUGAUGUGGAAUUGAGAGAAGAAUUGGAUCACUUUGAAAAGGUACUUGAGCAAAAGUUGUCUGUUGCAAUCUUAUCAAGCUCAUCAGGAUAGCCAUGGAACAUGAAGCUUUCAAAGGGAACUCUUCUAGUUUUGAUCAGAAAAGCAACUAGAAAGGCAUCAUAUGAUCAACUUGCAGUGACGAAGUUGAAGGCUUCCAAUGUUUCUGCUGUCUUGUUGAAAGUUGAAUGAACAACUGGAGUACAGUCGAUUUUGAGACCGGAAAGCAUACCGAAUGGGGGCCCAGAUGAUUUCACCCAAGUCAAGCUCCGGUGUGCAGGUACCUUAAACUUCCGGAAACUAAGGGACCGUUUAUCAGAACGCUUUGUAAGAGUCACCACUCUCACUAACCUUACCGGGUAAUAUUCUUGGCCAUUAAAGUGGCAUCAUAUGCAAUAAUCUUACCUGGUAAGCGCUUACCGAUCAGAGUCGUCCCCAUCUCUUACCGGGUAAAACUCCCAUUCCUUGUCUUGCCUCUUACCAGGUAAGAUUAUUGCGAUAUUCAUCUAGUAAGGUAAAUGACCCAGUAAAGACUUACAUGCUAAGCGUUUGAUAAACGGUCCCUAACUGUUUAUUUUAUAACAUACAUACUAUUAAAUGUAGAUUGAAUUAAUUUUUUAAUGGUUGUUUUUCCAGGACAUACCGUUGUAUUUCGACCAGGAGUUUUUGAUGAGCCCUUCAACAAACUUUUGCAAUGUGAUAGCCGACUAUUCAACUGCAAUCAAACCUCUCCAUGCUCACAAGUUGGGAGGAUCUACUCACUAGACAAUUUAUUGCUUUAUGCUGAUUGUGGUGCUUUCAGUAUCAUAAACAACUUAGAGCCAUAGAUUGUCUAAUGACUAAAUCCUCCUAACUUGUGAGCAUGGACAGGAUCUUGACUAUGCAGUUGAAUAGUCGGCUAUCACAUUGGUGCACCACAAGUAGCGCAGUACAAUAGAUUGUCUAGUGACUAGAUCCUCCCAAUACAAUUCAGUCAUUGAUCUCAUUGUCUUUUUUUUUUCAAUAUCACGCCAUAAACAUCAUUUGUGCACAACUAUCACAUGUUUUGCAAUAGAAUUUUCCGGCAAAUACGACCAAAAUAUACGGAAUGUUUUGGAAGGAAACUUAUCGUUAUUUUCAUUCCCUUUCCUUUCUUUUGUCUGCUAAAAAGUUUUAAGAAGACGAGUAU